GUAUCUGUGGCGCAAUGGUUAGCGCGGUCGGCUGUUAAGUUAAAGUUUGGUGGUUCAAGCCCAUCCAUUGACA
rnacentral:tRNA from 1 species